AACUUUUAACAAUGGAUCUCUUGGUUCUCGCAUCGAUGAAGAACGUAGCAAAGUGCGAUAACUAGUGUGAAUUGCAUAUUCAGUGAAUCAUCGAGUCUUUGAACGCAUCUUGCACUCAAUGGUAUUCCAUUGAGUACGCCUGUUUCAGUA
rnacentral:rRNA from 1 species